AUUGAACGCUGGCGGCAGGCCUAACACAUGCAAGUCGAACGAGUGGCGGACGGGUGAGUAAUGUCUGGGAAACUGCCCGAUGGAGGGGGAUAACUACUGGAAACGGUAGCUAAUACCGCAUACCAUCGGAUGUGCCCAGAUGGGAUUAGCUAGUAGGUGGGGUAAUGGCUCACCUAGGCGACGAUCCCUAGCUGGUCUGAGAGGAUGACCGGCCACACUGUGACUGAGACACUGUCCAGGCGCCUACGGUGGACAGGAGUGGGCAAUAUUGCACAAUGGGUGCAAGCCUGCUGCAGCCAUGCCGCGUGUGUGAAGAAGGCCUUCAGGUUGUAAAGUACUUUCAGCGAGGAGGCGUUACUCGCAGAAUAAGCACCGGCUAACUCCGUGCCAGCAGCCGCGGUAAUAC
rnacentral:rRNA from 1 species